rnacentral:misc_RNA from 1 species
UCUCUCCAAAACUUGGUCUUCUUGUUGCCUAUCUACUGCCCAAGGUGUAUGGACAACUUUUAGUGAGGGAAAGUGCAAGGAAGAAGCUUAGAUCAAGUUUGCAUGAAGCUUUCAAGUGGACGGCAAUGGAGGUUCUCUCAAGACCACUUUCGGCUAGUUCUUUGAGAGGUGAGGAAGAAGAUGAUUUGCUGUCCAAAUGAAGAGGUAGUGGUCCACUUAGAUGAGUUAGUGGAGCACUAUGUUAAAAUUAAAUAUUAGUUUAAUCUAAAGUUUCAUUUUCCCACAUUAAGCUCUCAAUUUUUGCUAUUUACAUUAGGU